rnacentral:rRNA from 1 species
UACGGAGGGAGCUAGCGUUGUUCGGAAUUACUGGGCGUAAAGCGCACGUAGGCGGCGAUUCAAGUCAGAGGUGAAAGCCCGGGGCUCAACCCCGGAACUGCCUUUGAAACUAGAUUGCUAGAAUCCUGGAGAGGUGAGUGGAAUUCCGAGUGUAGAGGUGAAAUUCGUAGAUAUUCGGAAGAACACCAGUGGCGAAGGCGAAUCUCUGGACAGUUACUGACACUGAGGCACGAAGGCCAGGGGAGCAAACGGG